UGUUGAAGAUUAAGCCAUGCAUGUGUAAGUAUAAAGACCUAGUAGGAUGAAACUGCGGACGGCUCAUUACAACAGUUAUAGUUUCUUUGGUUAGUACGAAAAGGAUAACUCUGUUAAUUGUAGAGCUAAUACUUGAGACACUCCACUUUCCUUCGGGAUUGUGGCGACCACACCUCGGUGCGGUUAAGAAUUAUUCCAUUCUGAAUGCUGGAAUAAGGACAAUUGUAGAAUCCUACGGAUUUUAACUAACAAGUAACCAAUGAGAAUUUCUGACUUAUCAACCAGUAGGUAAGGUAGUGGCUUACCUUGGUGAUCACGAGUAACGAGAAAUAAGGGUUUGACAUCGGAGAGGGAGCCUUAAAAAUGGCUACCACUUCCAAGGAAGGCAGCAGGCGCGAAAAUUACCCACUUGGGACACCCAGAGGUAGUGAAGACAAAUAACUAAAUGCUGUCCACUGGAUAGCGUUUAAGGGAUGAGCUAGACGUUAACACUCUAGCGAAAGCGAUUGGAGGGCAAGUCUGGUGCCAGCAGCCGCGGUAAUUCCAGCUCCAAUAGUGUAUAUUAAAGUUGUUGUGAUUAAAAAGCUCGUAGUUGAAUUCGACAAGAACUUUGGCGCUGUUUCUCCCUCGGGAGCGACAGUGGUCAAGUAUAGUUCUAAACACCUUCAGUCACUCUUUUCGGAGGGUGAGUGGAGAUAUUUACUUUGAAUAAAUAUGAGUGUUUAAAGCAAAGCAAAAGCUAAUAAAAUAUGAAGCAUGGGAUAAUAGAGAGGAGAUACCCACACCAACCACAUUGUGAUUGGCGGGUAUUUCUAGAUAAGGAUUAAUAGAAAGAGAUGGGGUGAUUUAUACGGAAAUGGGAGAGGUGAAAAUCCAUGAUCAUUUUAGGAUAAACUGAAGCGAAAGCAUUUCACUUAAAUCUGUUCAUUAAUCAAGAACGAAAGUUAGGGGAUCGAAGACGAUUAGAUACCGUCGUAGUCCUAACUAUAAACGAUGUCAACGAAGGAUUGGAUUGAACCUUUACCACACUGUCUCGACAGAGUGGUAGUAUACUUCAGUUCAGGACUUUAGGGGAAACCUAUAGUUAAUGGACUUCAGGGGGAGUAUGCUCGCAAGGGUGAAACUUAAAGGAAUUGACGGAAGGGCACACCAGGAGUGGAGCCUGCGGCUUAAUUUGACUCAACACGGGAAAACUUACCAAGACCAGACAUUAAGAGGAGUGACAGAGUAAGGGAACUUUCAUGAUUUGAUGGAGAGUGGUGCAUGGCCGUUCUUAGUUGGUGGAGUGAUUUGUCAGGUUUAUUCCGAUAACGAACGAGACUUCAAUCUUUAAUUAGAUUACGCAGCGCUGGUUGCGCAAGUCAGCAAUGACCCUCAAACGAGGUCUUCUUAAAGAGACUCUUGGCAAUUUUCUGGACUGCGGACCUACCCACCGGGAGGAUUCGCAGGCGGAAGAAGCUAAGGGAAGAGAAGCAAUAACAGGUCUGUGAUGCCCUUAGACAUCUUGGGCUGCACGCGUGCUACAAUAUCUAUUUUCAAGAGUACAUCAACAGUCAAUAGGAGACAGUAGGCUCUCGCGAGCUUAGUGUUUCGACUAGGGCUGAACACCUUUUCCGAAAGGAGUGGGAAAACUCGUAAGAUAGAUGUAACAGGGAUUAAUGAUUGGAAUUAUUUGUUAUGGAACGAGGAAUUCCUUGUAAAAUUUUGUCACUAACGAAAGUUGAAUACGUCCCUGCCCUUUGUACACACCGCCCGUCGCUCCUACCGAUUGAAUAAAAAGAUGAAGGUUUAGGAGGAAUCAUCACACGAUGAGCCGAAUGGAUCUGAAUCUCUUUAUUUAGAGG
rnacentral:rRNA from 1 species